ACUGACGCUGAGGAGCGAAAGCGUGGGGAGCGAACAGGAUUAGAUACCCUGGUAGUCCACGCCGUAAACGGUGGGUGCUAGGUGUAGGCGGUAUUCCACGCCGUCUGUGCCGCAGCUAACGCAUUAAGCACCCCGCCUGGGGAGUACGGCCGCAAGGCUAAAACUCAAAGGAAUUGACGGGGGCCCGCACAAGCAGCGGAGCAUGUGGCUUAAUUCGACGCAACGCGAGGAACCUUACCAAGGCUUGACAUGCACGGAAAUCCUCCAGAGAUGGGGGGUCCGCAAGGGUCCUGCACAGGUGGUGCAUGGUUGUCGUCAGCUCGUGUCGUGAGAUGUUGGGUUAAGUCCCGCAACGAGCGCAACCCUCGUUCUAUGUUGCCAGCGCGUGAUGGCGGGGACUCAUAGGAGACUGCCGGG
rnacentral:rRNA from 1 species